CAGUCGCCGCGGUAAAACGGAGGAUCCAAGCGUUAUCCGGAUUUAUUGGGUUUAAAGGGUGCGUAGGCGGCUCAUUAAGUCAGGGGUGAAAGACGGUAGCUUAACUAUCGCAGUGCCUUUGAUACUGAUGAGCUUGAAUGUAGUUGAGGUAGGCGGAAUGUGACAAGUAGCGGUGAAAUGCAUAGAUAUGUCACAGAACACCAAUUGCGAAGGCAGCUUACUAAAGUAUGAUUGACGCUGAGGCACGAAAGCGUGGGGAUCAAACAGGAUUAGAUACCCGCGUAGUCCCUGUCUCUUAUAC
rnacentral:rRNA from 1 species